GUGCUCGAUCCACCUCCAACUGAAACUCCACCUCACUCUGAGCUCCUUCUGGCUUCUGAAGCUCCACCUCACACUGAGCUCUCCAUCAGAUAAUAAUAUCCUCUUUUCUUCUUCUUUCCCUUCAGAAUAAUCCUAUCGUUGCAUAGCAUCUUCAGGAUUCCUCUACCAGCUACCGUCUUGUAGCCUCUUGAAUCCAAUCUACUCAGUGAGAUA
rnacentral:lncRNA from 1 species